rnacentral:lncRNA from 1 species
AUUUGGAGGAAAGAGGGUUGCUGUGGUAUGCUGGGGUUCCGCUUCAAUGCCUAGUCACCUCAGAUUUUCCUGUACCUGCAGGUAUCACCAGUGAAGCCUGCGAAGCAGCAAAGAUGGCAGUCUGCCCCGUCUUCUAGGAGCUCUGUCACAGGGAGACAAGCCGUGCUGUGCUGGCGGACCACUUCAGCUCAUGGUCACCUCAGACACCCUGAAGCCUGAAGGCUGGAACAACUAAAUUGCCCAAACAGCAAAUAUGACAGCAUCUACAGAAAUCAUUUUAUUUGAGUUAUGUAGCAAGAACCCAACUUAAGCAAAUAUAAAAUUUACAACUAAGUCACUAUUUGGAUAUUAAUGUGUAUGCUAAACUGAUUUGUUCAUGGGCUAGUCAGCUAUUCAUAUGACCUUUACAAUUUUCUGAAUUCCAUUUUUUGGUUUAAAAAAGAAAACAAGCUGAUACUUAUCACUUUCUAAGAAACAUUUGAUUUAAAUUCUUAUGCCUUCAAUAUCUCAUGUAAAAUGCUAGUUUCAUUACUACUCUAAGUAAAUAUGUGUAAAACAGAAAGUAUCUGAGACAAGUCUCAAUCAGUUUUGAAGUUUAUUUGGCCAAGGUUAAGGAUAUGCCUCGAAGAAAUAAACAUGCAAUCACAGAAACAGUC